AGCUUGUUAGUGAGGUAAAAGCUCACCAAGGCGACGAUCUGUAGCGGGUCUGAGAGGAUGAUCCGCCACACUGGAACUGAGACACGGUCCAGACUCCUACGGGAGGCAGCAGUGGGGAAUUUUGGACAAUGGGGGCAACCCUGAUCCAGCCAUGCCGCGUGAGUGAAGAAGGCCUUCGGGUUGUAAAGCUCUUUCAGCCGGGAAGAAAACGCAUGGGUUAAUACCCUGUGUGGAUGACGGUACCGGAAUAAGAAGCACCGGCUAACUACGUGCCAGCAGCCGCGGUAAUACGUAGGGUGCGAGCGUUAAUCGGAAUUACUGGGCGUAAAGCGUGCGCAGGCGGUUUUGUAAGACAGGCGUGAAAUCCCCGGGCUUAACCUGGGAACUGCGUUUGUGACUGCAAGGCUAGAGUACGGCAGAGGGGGGUGGAAUUCCACGUGUAGCAGUGAAAUGCGUAGAGAUGUGGAGGAACACCAAUGGCGAAGGCAGCCCCCUGGGUCGAUACUGACGCUCAUGCACGAAAGCGUGGGUAGCAAACAGGAUUAGAUACCCUGGUAGUCCACGCCCUAAACGAUGUCAACUAGGUGUUGGGAGGGUAAAACCUUUUAGUACCGGAGCUAACGCGUGAAGUUGACCGCCUGGGGAGUACGGCCGCAAGGUUAAAACUCAAAGGAAUUGACGGGGACCCGCACAAGCGGUGGAUGAUGUGGAUUAAUUCGAUGCAACGCGAAAAACCUUACCUACCCUUGACAUGCCAAGAACUUUCCAGAGAUGGAUUGGUGCCCGAAAGGGAACUUGGACACAGGUGCUGCAUGGCUGUCGUCAGCUCGUGUCGUGAGAUGUUGGGUUAAGUCCCGCAACGAGCGCAACCCUUGUCGUUAAUUGCCAUCAUUUAGUUGGGCACUUUAACGAGACUGCCGGUGACAAACCGGAGGAAGGUGGGGAUGACGUCAAGUCCUCAUGGCCCUUAUGGGUAGGGCUUCACACGUCAUACAAUGGUCGGUACAAAGGGUCGCCAAGCCGCGAGGUGGAGCCAAUCCCAGAAAGCCGAUCGUAGUCCGGAUCGCAGUCUGCAACUCGACUGCGUGAAGUCGGAAUCGCUAGUAAUCGUGGAUCAGAAUGUCACGGUGAAUACGUUCCCGGGUCUUGUACACACCGCCCGUCACACCAUGGGAGCGGGUUCCGCCAGAAGUAGGUAGCCUAACCGCAAGGAGGGCGCUUACCACGGCGGGGUUCGUGACUGGGGUGAAGUCGUAACAAGGUAGCCGUAGGGGAACCUGCGGCUG
rnacentral:rRNA from 1 species